AACUUUUGACAAUGGAUCACUUGGCUCUCGCAUCGAUGAAGAACGCAGCGAAAUGCGAUAAGUAAUGUGAAUUUCAGAAUUCAGUGAAUCAUCGAAUCUUUGAACGCACCUUGCACCCUUUGGCAUUCCGAAGGGUAUGCUCGUUUGAGUGUCAUUGUACUCUCACACUCCCGAUGCUUGUGGAUUGGGAGUGGUGGACUUGGGUGUUGCUGCUUUACUGUGGCUCACCUCAAAUGGAGUAGUGCAACUCUUGGUUGGACAUAGUAUGGCAUGAUAAGCAUCUUUGCCAGCACCUCUCCGGAGGGUGGUCAGUCAAGAGCUCUGUGCUUCUAACUGUCUUUGGACAAUGUUGACAACUUGACCUCAAAUCGAGUAGGACUACCCGCUGAACUUAAGCAUAUCAAUAAGCGGAGGCU
rnacentral:misc_RNA from 1 species